rnacentral:rRNA from 1 species
UACAGAGGUCCCGAGCGUUGUUCGGAUUCACUGGGCGUAAAGGGUGCGUAGGCGGCGGAGUAAGUUGGGUGUGAAAUCCCGGGGCUUAACCUCGGAAUUGCAUUCAAUACUGCUUCGCUUGAGUACUGGAGAGGAGGCUGGAAUUUACGGUGUAGCAGUGAAAUGCGUAGAUAUCGUAAGGAAGGCCGGUGGCGAAAGCGAGCCUCUGGACAGUUGCUGACGCUGAUGCACGAAGGCCAGGGGAGCAAACGGG